rnacentral:rRNA from 1 species
AGUAACGCGUGAGGAACCUGCCUCAAAGAGGGGGACAACAGUUGGAAACGACUGCUAAUACCGCAUAAGCCCACGGUGCCGCAUGGCACAGAGGGAAAAGGAGCAAUCCGCUUUGGGAUGGCCUCGCGUCCGAUUAGCUAGUUGGUGAGGUAAUGGCCCACCAAGGCGACGAUCGGUAGCCGGACUGAGAGGUUGAACGGCCACAUUGGGACUGAGACACGGCCCAG